ensembl:lncRNA
CCUGUACUCCUUGCUUGGUUCCUGCAAUAAAGCCUGUGGUUUGCUUCACCACAAUCUGCGAUCAGUAGAUUGACUUUAUUGUAUAUGGGAGAGUGUCCCCAAGUUUGGCUUGGUGACAAUCUUAGCCUACCAUACACCUAUUCCUUUCUUCUCCCAGCUACAGAGAUGGGCAUAUGCCCCCAAACCAGGGCUGUCAAGACUCCUUCUCAGAACCUCUUCAGGGGAUUUGCAGAUGUUCUCAUACAAUAGGAGCUGUCAGACUGGUACUUUGCCAGUCUUGGGGUGCUGGGGAUGCUCAUGCCUGCUCCAUGAGGAGAGUUUGAGGGACACAGUAUUUGUGCACUUCAUCUAGCUGUGCCUCGGGGCAGUGUAACUUCUGGACUUUGUAGCUGACGUGGCCCCCAAAUACCUUUUUAUUGCUUAAGUGAAAUUCUGUCAGGUGUAGUCAAUAGUCUGCCUAAUUUCAUUAGGGCUUUACUGCUUUAGCUGAAUACUUUCCUGGCAAGUUUAUAAAGACUGGGAAUUGCUUUAGGAGUUGAGCCAUCACAGGACCUUCUUGGUCAAGUUUGUGUUUUCCCUGGCAAUUAAAUUCCUUUAACAUCCAGCAAGUGCCAGAAAUCUUACUGAGUCACGAUUCCAGAAUCCAGAUUCUGCCUCUGAUGUUUCAGUCUCUUGGCAACAGCAGUUGCCUGUCCCUGAAGCGCUAGGUCACAGUUGAAUACUUUUGUUUUUGCUGCUACCUGUGAAACAACAGCUGUACAGUGGACACACUGCCUUGGUACCUUAGAGAGCCCUCGAGCAGACCAGCCCCAGCACUUGAACAGAGCAUUCCUCUUCAGGGGACGAAAAUCAUGGUCCAGAUCAAGAAGCAUAAACGAGGAAAUUGGAAAUCCCACAUUGUUCUAUUUCCGAGUGAAAAGCUUUGACUCACCACUAGAGGGCACUAUUCACCCUCUCAUCUUUCUGAAGGCGUCAGCCCAGCAGGGCUCGCUUUCAAAUGAAAAUAACUGCAUUUACUAAGGCAUACGUCAGAGAUAUUGCGGAUUCACUUCAAGAUGGCUGCAAUAAAGUGAAUAUCACAAAAAAGGUGAAUUACUCAACUUUCUCUUCCACACUGGUGGCCAUAUAUCUUUGGAUGUAAUGAAGAGCACUUUCUCCCCAAGAUGAAGGAUGGAAGAAAAUGUUAAAUAGCUUCAGAUCUAGGAUGAUCUUCUGCAUGAAUUUCAGUUAAAAAUUUCAGGGUCAUCUGCAAUAAAA